AGCAGCCGCGGUAAAUUCCAGCUCCAAUAGCGUAUAUUAAAGUUGUUGCAGUUAAAAAGCUCGUAGUUGAAUUUCGGGAUCAAGGUGCCGGUCAUGCCUUUGGUAUGUACUGACAUCAUUGAUUUCUCCCUUCUGAUGAACUGUGAUGUCAUUAAUUUGGUGUCAUGGAGAAUCAGGACUGUUACUUUGAAAAAUUAGAGUGUUUAAAGCAAGCACACGCUUGAAUACAUUAGCAUGGAAUAAUGAAAUAGGACGUUUGAUCCUAUUUUGUUGGUUUCUAGGAUUGACGUAAUGAUUAAUAGGGAUAGUUGGGGGCAUUAGUAUUCAAUUGUCAGAGGUGAAAUUCUUGGAUUUAUUGAAGACUAACUACUGCGAAAGCAUUUGCCAAGGAUGUUUUCAU
rnacentral:rRNA from 1 species